AGGAAACAUUCAUGUUGGCUUUGGUGUCAAUUCGAGUUUGAAAAAGCCAUAAACUUGUACGUUCGUCAGUUUGUCAGUUCAUCAGUCCGUCAGUUCUUUCUAUUUUUCUUUAUGUUCAGUUCUUUCUAUUUCUCUUUAUGUUGAGAGUUUGAACCCAAAACUUUCUCCCCUUUCGUUCAAAUU
rnacentral:sRNA from 1 species